rnacentral:rRNA from 1 species
CUGAACUCGCCUACAUGAAGCUGGAGUUACUAGUAAUCGCAGAUCAGAAUGCUGCGGUGAAUGCGUUCCCGGGUCUUGUACACACCACCCGUCACACCACGGAAGUUGGGGGCGCCCGAAGCCACUUAGCUAACCCAUUUGGGAAGCGAGUGUCGAAGGUGGAAUCAAUAACUGGGGUGAAGUCGUAACAAGGUACC